rnacentral:rRNA from 1 species
UACAGAGGUGGCAAGCGUUGUUCGGAAUUACUGGGCGUAAAGGGCGCGUAGGCGGUUCGUUAAGUCCUGUGUGAAAUCCCCCGGCUCAACUGGGGAACUGCACAGGAAACUAGCGGGCUUGAGUUCGGGAGAGGGAAGCGGAAUUCCGGGUGUAGCGGUGAAAUGCGUAGAUAUCAGGAAGAACACCCGUGGCGAAGGCGGUUCUCUGGGACGGUACUGACGCUGAGACGCGAAAGCGUGGGGAGCGAACAGG